UAAGGAAUAUUGGUCAAUGGACGCAAGUCUGAACCAGCCAUGCCGCGUGAAGGAUUAAGGUCCUCUGGAUUGUAAACUUCUUUUAUCUGGGACGAAAAAAGGCGAUUCUUCGUCACUUGACGGUACCAGAUGAAUAAGCACCGGCUAACUCCGUGCCAGCAGCCGCGGUAAUACGGAGGGUGCAAGCGUUAUCCGGAUUCACUGGGUUUAAAGGGUGCGUAGGCGGGCAGGUAAGUCAGUGGUGAAAUCCUAGAGCUUAACUCUAGAACUGCCAUUGAUACUAUCUGUCUUGAAUAUUGUGGAGGUAAGCGGAAUAUGUCAUGUAGCGGUGAAAUGCUUAGAUAUGACAUAGAACACCUAUUGCGAAGGCAGCUUACUACGCAUAUAUUGACGCUGAGGCACGAAAGCGUGGGGAUCAAACAGGAUUAGAUACCCUGGUAGUCCACGCCCUAAACGAUGAUUACUCGACAUCUGUGAUACACUAUAAGUGUCUGAGCGAAAGCAUUAAGUAAUCCACCUAGGAAGUACGACCGCAAGGUUGAAACUCAAAUGAAUUGACGGGGUCAUAGCUGUUUCCUG
rnacentral:rRNA from 1 species